rnacentral:lncRNA from 12 species
UGAAUAUUAGAUAUUUUCUAACCCCCUUAUUUAAUUUUACAGGUUAACAAAUACUGUUUCAGAUAGAUGACCUGAUUGGAUCUCUACUAAGUAGUUGUCAGACAACAAGGAACUUUAAUUAUCUUACGGAGAGGAGAUUAUUUGUUUAAAAGGAUACCCAGCUAGGAUAAAUUCUGCUUGGACUGACUGAGGAUGUACAAAGUAAAUCUAUACAAUUUUAUCAAGGACUUAAUGCAAGAUGUGGCCUUUCUGAGAGCUGAAUGAUUGGAGUAAGC